AUGUGGACAAUUUUAAAGUCUUUAUUGAAUUUGUUACAAUAUUGCUUUUGCUUUAUGUUUUGGUUUAUUGGCCACAAGACCAGAGAUGCAACCCACACCCCCUGCAUUGAAGGCAGAGUCUCAGCCGCUGGCCCAGUAGGGAAGUCCCUGGAAUGCAGGAGAUUGAUUUCAAAAGUAUUGCUGGAGAAUCCAGUGUGUUUCUGUGACAAGACUGUAGGAAGGGCGAGAGGAAGAGAAGGGGCAAGUGAUGCCACCCAGAGACAGGUCACCGCCAGAGCCAGCGCUGCCCCUGAGUUAGGGCAGCAGGAAGACCCAAGAGGCGUUCCUGUGGGUGUGUGGGACCCUCCCACCAGGGAUAUGCAAAGCAGCGGCACUGCCCUGCCGCCUGCACAGGGUCUCCUCUCCAGAACCUGGCUGCUGCCCGGCCAAGGCAUCUGGGAAAUGCAGUGUCCACAGUCAUUCCCCAUAGGGUGCAGAGGGUGGGAGGAGGCUGGGCACCGGGGGUGGGGCACACGUCACCCCUGGGGUGGCAGGGAGUGUGAAACAGGCUGUGACCGUCCAGGGUUAUUUCAGAGUGCGAGGCUCGGGGCCGCCUGACCGGAAGACAGUAGUUAGACGGAUGCUCCCGCUCAGGAGGUGCCAUCAUCAGCCCAGAUGUGUCGCCUGAAACGCUCACACCCCUGAGGGUCCUUGCCACCAGGGAUGUGGUGUAGAGACUGAUAAGCAUCAUCGAAAGCUCCAGAUGAACGAAGGAUAUUCUUCUCUUGAUGCUGAAGGCACUGGCAUUUCGGAGAGUCCAUUGUGUUUCUGUGUGAGUCGUGACAAGAGUGUAGGAUCUGAGCUCAGAGAGUUAUGAUAAGGUCUUCCAUCCACCUGAGGUAGCUAAGGACUGACCACACCCGGCCCUGCCAGCAUUUGCUCAUAGUACCUUCCAGCACUGGGACCAUGGACCUCCAGACUGCCCCUAGACACAGGACUGCCUGCCGUGAGAGCACUGCCAGGGUCCUGCAAAACAGCGCUUCCCUGGAAGUUAGGAUCUGCUCAUCGUUGAGAUUCUGUCGACCUCAGACCCCACCACUCCCUGCUGUCUGACACCUGCUCCUUGACGCAUGGCCUGCCUGGAGGCAUUUGGAUCUGUGGCCCUACUUAUGACUUUGGUUUGUAUAUUAAGCCCAAGGGACAGCAUAUAAUCUGUUGAGAACCGAGCCUGUGCCAGAUGCCAGGGACGAAGUGUCAGAGAUGGGGAAUGCUGUGAGUGCCUGUGAGCUGCUCACACUCCAGGAAAACCCCACACGCCCGACACACACAACUGUUCUCUGUGACACCCGUGAAUGGGACUUGAGAAGGAGGCUGGGCCCCCCGAAUGAACACAGAACCUGCCUGGGAGACCGGGUCUGCACACGACAAGAAGAGACAUCUCGAUGUCCUGGGCAGUAACUGGAGCCAGGGAGAUGCCAGGCAGGGUCCAGGGACGCAUUGAUCUCAGUCCUGCCUGGAAGAGGGGCCCCGACGUCCCAGGAGCAUGCGCUGAGCUCCUUUGGCUUCUGGAAAGGAGCUUUGAGUUUUAGGUCUCCUUGGCAAGUAGACGAAUUCCAAAUCCCCCGCCUGUGUUCUGUCCUCCCCACGUGUGUGUGUGUGUGUGAGUGUGAAUGUGUAUGCACACACGCAUGCACCUGAGCCUCAAGAACGCAUGGCUGCCCUGCCGGGUUCUAAGUCAUCAGAGGCAGGUGAUCGGCUGAGAGACGUGAACGUGUCUCGUGUCCUCAGUCUCCCGCCCAGGAAGCUCUGUGGGUGUGAUGGGUGCGGGUCUGCCGCUCUUCAUGGUGCAGUGAGCGAGCGCCUGGUGCUGUGGGCCCACCCCUGGGCCCCUCUCCAUCCCCAAGUCAGCGCCUUGUCCGUCCCCACCUCCCGGAUGCAGGAACACGCUUCUCUCAUCUGCUGGGGCCACGCUGACCGGGCUCACACGGUAGACAUUUACUCCUCACAGUGCCAGAGGCCAAGCCCAAGGUCAAGGCACCAGGUGAGCCCUGGAGGGCUCCUUUCCUGGUUUGUAGGCAGCCGCCUUCUCCCUCGCAGGCUGGAGGGAGCCAGCUCUGGUCUCUGGCCUCCUUGAAAGUAAAAGUCACUUAGUCGUGUCCAUCUCAU
ensembl:lncRNA